UAAUGCUUGGGAAUCUAGCUUAUGGAGGGGGAUAACUACGGGAAACUGUAGCUAAUACCGCGUAGAAUCGGGAGAUGAAAGUGUGGGGCCUUCGGGCCACAUGCCAUAGGAUGAGCCCAAGUGGGAUUAAGUAGUUGGUGAGGUAAAGGCUCACCAAGCCGACGAUCUCUAGCUGGUCUGAGAGGAUGACCAGCCACACUGGGACUGAGACACGGCCCAG
rnacentral:rRNA from 1 species